GCGUGGGAGGCCAAGGCGGUGGCCAUGGAGGACUGGUGGAUGGCAUCUCAGGACCUGACAGAAAAGUUAAGGAAUGGGAAGAGAAGAGGAAACAGAAUAUUGAGAAGAUGAAUGAAGAGAUGGAGAAGAUUGCAGAAUAUGAAAGGAGCCAAAGGGAUGGAGUAAGGGAGAAAAAUCCAAUC